GGUUUUUAAUUCGAGAUAUAUUAACAGAGCUUUUACACUUAAUCACAACUGCUCUUGCUUUGGUAUAUAGUAUUUUGCAGGGAAAUUGGUACCCCUUUCUCUAAAUUUAUCUCAAGGAUAUGUGUAUUACAGAGCUGACAGAAAAUUACUACAAAGAAUUACUCUAUUUUAUAAGUGAAGAAUUGAUUGACGACACAGGUCUCCUUUCUAACAAUGACGUGUCAAAAAUGGACGAAACACUGGGAGAGCUUGAUAAAGAUGACGACACUUUUCCAGUAGGAAAUAGUGUUGUGGAUCUAAGAUUUUUAACACAUAUACACAAUAAAUAUGAGUUCUUCAAGCAGUGAAAGCGAACGCAGUUCGGAUACUGAAAACUCAGAUAUGGCAAAUGAAAAUUUACUUUCGAAUUCCGGCGAUGAGGAUACAAUUGUGGCUAAUUCAGUUGUGGUACGAAAAUGAACCUCUUGCGAACGCAGUCGGAGAGAAUUUUGUGUCGGUCGAAGAAGACGCAGAUGGCUUAGAACCUCGAACAUUGGAAGCGAGGUUCGAAGGAACCGUUCAGUUAGAUAAGUGGUGUGCAUGUAGCUUGUGUCAUACUCAACUGCUGACAGAUGCCAUUGAAUACCGUUGUUGUCAAGAGGUUGGGCCUACUUUACAUAAACUGGUAUUCGGU